CCUACGGGAGGCAGCAGUGGGGAAUUUUGGACAAUGGGCGCAAGCCUGAUCCAGCAAUGCCGCGUGAGUGAAGAAGGCCUUCGGGUUGUAAAGCUCUUUUGUCAGGGAAGAGACGGUGGGAGCUAAUAUCUCCUACUAAUGACGGUACCUGAAGAAUAAGCACCGGCUAACUACGUGCCAGCAGCCGCGGUAAUACGUAGGGUGCAAGCGUUAAUCGGAAUUACUGGGCGUAAAGCGUGCGCAGGCGGUUUUGAAGUCUGUCGUGAAAGCCCCGGGCUCAACCUGGGAAUUGCGAUGGAGACUGCAAGGCUUGAAUCUGGGCAGAGGGGGGUAGAAUUCCACGUGUAGCAGUGAAAUGCGUAGAGAUGUGGAGGAACACCGAUGGCGAAGGCAGCCCCCUGGGUCAAGAUUGACGCUCAUGCACGAAAGCGUAGGGGAGCAAACAGGAUUAGAUACCCUGGUAGUCCACGCCCUAAACGAUGUCUACUAGUUGUCGGGUUUUAAUUAACUUGGUAACGCAGCUAACGCGUGAAGUAGACCGCCUGGGGAUACGGUCGCGAAGNUUAAAACUUAAGGAAUUGAGGCUGAGCCGNGCGAGACGACACGAGGAGAGG
rnacentral:rRNA from 1 species